rnacentral:rRNA from 1 species
AGAGUUUGAUUCCUGGCUCAGAGCGAACGCUGGCGGCAGGCUUAACACAUGCAAGUCGAACGGGCGUAGCAAUACGUCAGUGGCAGACGGGUGAGUAACGCGUGGGAACAUACCUCUUGGUUCGGAACAACACAGGGAAACUUGUGCUAAUACCGGAUAAGCCCUUACGGGGAAAGAUUUAUCGCCGAGAGAUUGGCCCGCGUCUGAUUAGCUAGUUGGUGGGGUAAAGGCCUACCAAGGCGACGAUCAGUAGCUGGUCUGAGAGGAUGAUCAGCCACAUUGGGACUGAGACACGGCCCAAACUCCUACGGGAGGCAGCAGUGGGGAAUAUUGGACAAUGGGCGCAAGCCUGAUCCAGCCAUGCCGCGUGAGUGAUGAAGGCCCUAGGGUUGUAAAGCUCUUUUGUACGGGAAGA